rnacentral:snRNA from 1 species
AAACCUUUGAAGUAAGGUAAUG